rnacentral:rRNA from 1 species
GACGAACGCUGGCGGCGUGCCUAAUACAUGCAAGUAGGACGCAGUUGCGAACGGGUUAGUACCGCGUUGGUCACUACCUAUUAUAGGGGGAUAACUAUUGGAAACGAUAGCUAAUACCGCAUCCUAGUUGAUGGACCUUCGUUGUAUUAGGUAGUAGGUAGGGUACUGGCCUACCUAGGCAACGAUACAUAGCCGACCUGGGAGGGUGAGCGGCGACACUGGGAAUGAGACACGGCCCAGACGCCUAAGGGAGGCAGCAGUAGGGAAUCUGCGGCAAUGGGGGGAACCCUGACCGAGCAAAGCCGCGUGAGUGAAGAAGGGUUUCGGAGCGUAAAGCUCUGUUGUUAAGGAAGCGGUACGUAACCAGAAAGGGACGGCUAACUACGUGCCAGCAGCCGCGGUAAUUC